GAUGAACGCUGGCGGCGUGCCUAAUACAUGCAAGUCGAGCGAACAGACGAGGAGCUUGCUCCUCUGACGUUAGCGGCGGACGGGUGAGUAACACGUGGAUAACCUACCUAUAAGACUGGGAUAACUUCGGGAAACCGGAGCUAAUACCGGAUAAUAUAUUGAACCGCAUGGUUCAAUAGUGAAAGACGGUUUUGCUGUCACUUAUAGAUGGAUCCGCGCCGCAUUAGCUAGUUGGUAAGGUAACGGCUUACCAAGGCGACGAUGCGUAGCCGACCUGAGAGGGUGAUCGGCCACACUGGAACUGAGACACGGUCCAGACUCCUACGGGAGGCAGCAGUAGGGAAUCUGCCGCAAUGGGCGAAAGCCUGACGGAGCAACGCGGCGGGAGUGAUGAAGGUCUUCGGAUCGUAAAACCCUGUUAUUAGGAAAGAACAAAUGUGUAAGUAACUAUGCACGUCUUGACGUACCUAAUCAGAAAGCCACGGCUAACUACGUG
rnacentral:rRNA from 1 species